rnacentral:ncRNA from 1 species
GAUAUUGCUAUGAAAGAGGCAAGUAAAAUGAUGCUGUAUACAGGGAGGAAGGGCCAAGGAUUGAGAGCCUUUCUAUAUAAAGGUCAUUUGAAGUUUCCCUCUGGAGCUUCUUUGCUGAAACAAAGUAGGCAAGGACGGAAUUCCGUUACAUAAUCAAGUGGGCUUUUGCCAAUUAGGGUGGUACCGCGAAGACAACCUUCGUCCCUUUG